UCAAGUGACUAAGUGUAUGUGGUGGAUGCCUUGGCGAUCACAGGCGAUGAAGGACGUGGCAGCCUGCGAAAAGCUGCGGGGAGUUGGCAAAUAAACUUUGAUCCGCAGAUGUCCGAAUGGGGGAACCCACCUCUUUUGAGGUAUCUCUAGCUGAAUACAUAGGCUAGGGAGGCGAACGGAGUGAACUGAAACAUCUAAGUAACUCCAGGAAAAGAAAUCAACCGAGAUUCCGAAAGUAGCGGCGAGCGAAAUUGGAUCAGCCUAAUGCUCGAUAACAACGGCUAAUACUGGCACAGUCUGGAAAGUCUGGCUAUAGAGGGUGAUAGCCCCGUACAGGAAAUUAGCGUUGUGGUACUAAGUGCAUGAAAAGUAGGGCGGGACACGUGACAUCCUGUCCGAAGAUGGGGGGACCAUCCUCCAAGGCUAAAUACUCGUGAUCGACCGAUAGCGUACCAGUACUGUGAAGGAAAGGCGAAAAGAACCCCGGGAGGGGAGUGAAAUAGAACCUGAAACCGCAUACAUACAAACAGUAGGAGCCUCGUUAAGGGGUGACUGCGUACCUUUUGCAUAAUGGGUCAGCGACUUACGUUUAAUGGCAAGCUUAACCGAUUAGGGGAGGCGUAGCGAAAGCGAGUUCGAAUAGAGCGAUUUGAGUCGUUAGGCGUAGACCCGAAACCAGAUGAUCUAUCCAUGGUCAGGUUGAAGAUGUGGUAACACACAUUGGAGGACCGAACCGACUAGUGUUGCAAAAUUAGCGGAUGAACUGUGGAUAGGGGUGAAAGGCUAAACAAAUCUGGAGAUAGCUGGUUCUCCCCGAAAACUAUUGAGGUAGUGCCUCGUGUAUAACUCCAGGGGGUAGAGCACUGUUAUGGCUAGGGGGACAUGGCGUCUUACCAAACCAUGGCAAACUCCGAAUACUUGGAAGUUGAGCACGGGAGACAGAGCACCGGGUGCUAACGUCCGGACUCAAGAGGGAAACAACCCAGACCGCCGGCUAAGGUCCCUAAUAUUGUCUAAGUGGAAAACGAAGUGGAAAGGCUAAAACAGUCAGGAAGUUGGCUUAGAAGCAGCCAUCCUUUAAAGAAAGCGUAAUAGCUCACUGAUCGAGUCUUUCUGCGCGGAAGAUGUAACGGGGCUAAGACAAUAACCGAAGCCGCGGAUUCACACGUAAGUGUGAGUGGUAGGGGAGCGUUCUGUAAGCCUGCGAAGGUGGCUUGUAAAGGCUGCUGGAGGUAUCAGAAGUGCGAAUGCUGACAUGAGUAACGUUAAAGUGGGUGAAAAGCCCACUCGCCGUAAGCCCAAGGUUUCCUGCUCUACGUUCAUCGGAGCAGGGUGAGUCGGCCCCUAAGGUGAGGCUGAUAAGCGUAACUGAUGGGAACAAGGUUAAUAUUCCUUGACCGCCGUUGAGUGCGAAGGGGGGACGGAGUAUUGAAGAUCAUCCGGGUGUUGGAUAUCCCGGUUUGCGCGCGUAGGAGGCUGAUAGGCAAAUCCGUCAGCGAAUCUCCGAGGCAAAGCAUCGAGACCUUUUAGGUCGAAGUGAUUGGAUGUGCUCCCAGGAAAAGCCUCUAAGCUCCAGCUCAACGGGACCGUACCGCAAACCGACACUGGUGGGCGAGCUGAAUAUGCUCAGGCGCUUGAGAGAACUCAGGAGAAGGAACUCGGCAAAUUGACACCGUAACUUCGGGAUAAGGUGUGCCUUUGUAGUGUGAAGGAAGAAACAUCCGGAGCAUGAAGAGGUCUCAGAGAAUUGGUGGCUGCGACUGUUUACUAAAAACACAGCACUCUGCAAAGACGAAAGUCGACGUAUAGGGUGUGAUGCCUGCCCGGUGCUGGAAGAUUAAUUGAUGGGGUGCAAGCUCCUGAUCGAAGUCCCAGUAAACGGCGGCCGUAACUAUAACGGUCCUAAGGUAGCGAAAUUCCUUGUCGGGUAAGUUCCGACCUGCACGAAUGGCAUAACGA
rnacentral:rRNA from 1 species